UCAAGACUAAAACCUUCAUGG
rnacentral:piRNA from 1 species